GCCAGACUCCUACGGGAGGCAGCAGUGGGGAAUAUUGGACAAUGGGGGGAACCCUGAUCCAGCGACGCCGCGUGAGUGAAGAAGUAUUUCGGUAUGUAAAGCUCUCUCAGCAGGGACGAGACAAGACGGUACCUGACUAAGAAGCCCCGGCUAACUACGUGCCAGCAGCCGCGGUAAUACGUAGGGGGCAAGCGUUAUCCGGAAUCACUGGGUGUAAAGGGAGCGUAGACGGCUGUGCAAGCCUGAAGUGAAAGGCGGGGGCCCAACCCCCGGACUGCUUUGGGAACUGUACGGCUGGAGUGCAGGAGAGGUAAGUGGAAUUCCUAGUGUAGCGGUGAAAUGCGUAGAUAUUAGGAGGAACACCAGUGGCGAAGGCGGCUUACUGGACUGUAACUGACGUUGAGGCUCGAAAGCGUGGGGAGCAAACAGGAUUAGAUACCCCUGUACG
rnacentral:rRNA from 1 species